CUCGUUUCUUUUAUUAAUAUAUUAAAGUAUCACACAUAGCACCUUAAAAAUAUGGUACAUGGAGUGUCCCUGAGAUAAUCCCAGAGUAGCCUGUUUAUACUGUACGCAUGUUUUGCCACCUACCUGGUUUCCACCUGGUGCCUGCGCUGUAACAGUUGUUUUACAGCUUAUUCAUUGCCAAGAGCGAACAACUAAAGCUCUCUCUUUAUGAAUAAAUGCCUACAUUGACUUCUGCUCGAGAACACUGGAAGCAGUGUGGGCAUCCAAAUUAAACCAUGCUAAAAUGAAAUGCUGGCGAGGAACCAGGGCACUGUUGGGACCAUAGCCACUACAAUGGAAUAAAAUUGUUAUGUUGCUUGGACUCUUCCUUUAGCGGGUGAGGGUUCAGGGAAAUGACCCCCUUUUCCCUCCUUUCAUUCUACAGUAUUUUUUUUCUUUGCUCCAAAAAACAGUCCUCCAGUAGUCCAGGUUUUGUCCCACCAACAGUCCAGGAAUUGUCAGUAUCUCCAUUGGAAUCAAAAAAGUACAUAAAUCCUGGAUUAUUGGUGGACCACUAGGACUGGUUUGGGAACCACUGAUGUAGAUGGCAUAAGCAGCGGUAACCAUGUAUGUGACUGAUAGCUGUGCUCUGCU